UACGAAGGGUGCAAGCGUUACUCGGAAUUACUGGGCGUAAAGCGUGCGUAGGUGGUUCGUUAAGUCUGAUGUGAAAGCCCUGGGCUCAACCUGGGAAUGGCAUUGGAUACUGGCGACCUAGAGUGCGGUAGAGAGGUGUGGAAUUCCCGGUGUAGCAGUGAAAUGCGUAGAUAUCGGGAGGAACAUCUGUGGCGAAGGCGACACCCUGGACCAGCACUGACACUGAGGCACGAAAGCUAGGGGAGCAAACGGG
rnacentral:rRNA from 1 species